rnacentral:rRNA from 1 species
GACGUAGGGGACGAGCGUUGUCCGGAUUCAUUGGGCGUAAAGCGCGCGUAGGCGGUUCGGUAAGUCGGGUGUGAAAACACGAGGCUCAACCUCGUGCGUGCAUCCGAUACUGCCGGACUAGAGGUAGGUAGGGGAGAUCGGAAUUCCUGGUGUAGCGGUGAAAUGCGCAGAUAUCAGGAGGAACACCGGUGGCGUAGACGGCUUACUGGACCACGACUGACACUGAGGCACGAAAGCGUGGGUAGCAAACAGG